UCAACGAAUUUAAACUAUUUGAAAAACAACACUUAUUCAACGUUAUUUCAACGUUGGUUGAAAAUGUGGUAAUUAAAAAACGUUGAAAAAGUGUUACUUUGCCAACGUUAAUAAAACGUUGUUUUGACAAUGUUGAGGAAGUGGCUCAUUAAAAAUUAUUGUCUCAAUAACUAGCUAUUACAAAAAUAAUUUGCCGUAAUGGAAAGGCAAGGAAAACUUGAUAGAAUGCAUGCAUAUGGUUUGAAGCAGAGGCAGUUGCUCCAUCUUGUUCGAAAAAAGAUGGAUGGUUAUUUUGGCCAACUUGUGUUCAUGCAAUGAAAGCUACCUAUAAUAAU